CCCUUAGAUGUCCUGGGCCGCACGCGUGCUACACUGACACUUACACCGAGUUUUUCCAAUGCCGAAAGGCCAUUGGUAAUCAGCAAUAAGUGUCGUGAUGGGGAUAGAUCUUUGGAAUUAUUGAUCUUGAACGAGGAAUUCCUAGUAAACGCAAGUCAUCAGCUUGCAUUGAUUACGUCCCUGCCCUUUGUACACACCGCCCGUCGCACCUACCGAUUGAAUGGUCCGGUGAAAUCUCGGGACGGCGGCUUGGUCGCUUGCGUCCGACUGCUGAAACUUGAUUAAACCAUAUCAUUUAGAGGAAGGUGAAGUCGUAACA
rnacentral:rRNA from 1 species